rnacentral:tRNA from 1 species
UUCUACUUAGUUUAUACAAAACAUUAUAUUUUCAGUAUAAAAAUAAGUCAUUACUUAGAAGAAA